rnacentral:rRNA from 1 species
AGCUGGUUCUCUCCGAAAUGCAUUUAGGUGCAGCGUUGCGUGUUUCUUGCCGGAGGUAGAGCUACUGGAUGGCCGAUGGGCCCUACAAGGUUACUGACGUCAGCCAAACUCCGAAUGCCGGUAAGUGAGAGCGCAGCAGUGAGACUGUGGGGGAUAAGCUUCAUAGUCGAGAGGGAAACAACCCAGACCACCAACUAAGGUCCCAAAGCGCGUGCUAAGUGGGAAAGGAUGUGGAGUUGCUGUGACAACCAGGAGGUUGGCUUAGAAGCAGCCACCCUUGAAAGAGUGCGUAAUAGCUCACUGGUCAAGUGAUUCCGCGCCGACAAUGUAACGGGGCUCAAGCACGCCACCGAAGUUGUGGCAUUGACAUUAUUGGUAGGCCUUCGUGGUCCAGCCGUGUUGAUGGGUAGGAGAGCGUCGUGUGGCCAGCGAAGCGGCGGUGUAAACCAGCCGUGGAGGCUACACGAGUGAGAAUGCAGGCAUGAGUAGCGAAUGACGUGUGAGAAACACGUCCUCCGAAAGACCAAGGGUUCCAGGGUCAAGCUAAUCUUCCCUGGGUAAGUCGGGACCUAAGGCGAGGCCGACAGGCGUAGUCGAUGGACAACGGGUUGAUAUUCCCGUACCGGCGAAGAACCGCCCAAGCUAAUCCAGUAGUGCUAAGUGUCUGAAUCCCAGUGACUGAUCCCUUCGGGGUGACGCUCUGGGCCUAGCGCACGACCCCAUUCUGGUGCGGUUAGCGUAUUAACAGGUGUGACGCAGGAAGGUAGCCCAAGCCAGGCGAUGGUUGUCCUGGUGCAAGUGCGUAGGCCGAGUCGUAGGCAAAUCCGCGAUUCACAUAGGCUGAGACACGAUGCGGAUAAAAAGUGGGUGAUCCUAUGCUGCCAAGAAAAGCAUCGACGCGAGGUUCUAGCCGCCCGUACCCCAAACCGACUCAGGUGGUCAGGUAGAGAAUACCAAGGAGAUCGAGAGAAUCGUGGUUAAGGAACUCGGCAAAAUGCCCCCGUAACUUCGGGAGAAGGGGGGCCAUCCACUUAUACGGAUUUACUCCGAAAAGGGUGUGGUGGCCGCAGAGACUAGUGGGUAGCGACUGUUUACUAAAAACACAGGUCCGUGCCAAGUCGCAAGACGAUGUAUACGGACUGACGCCUGCCCGGUGCUGGAAGGUUAAGAGGACCGGUUAGCCGCAAGGCGAAGCUGAGAAUUUAAGCCCCAGUAAACGGCGGUGGUAACUAUAACCAUCCUAAGGUAGCGAAAUUCCUUGUCGGGUAAGUUCCGACCCGCACGAAAGGCGUAAUGAUUUGGAUACUGUCUCAGAGAGGGACUCGGUGAAAUAGACUUGUCUGUGAAGAUGCGGACUACCUGCACCAGGACAGAAAGACCCUAUGAAGCUUUACUGUAACUUGAAAUUGAAAUUGGACUUUAUUUGCGCAGUAUAGGUGGGAGGCGUUGAGUUUAUUCUUGCGGGAAUUUAGGAGCCAUCAGUGAGAUACCACUCUGGUAAUGUUAGAUUUCUAACUUUGUAUCAUAAUCUGGUCAAAGGACAGUUUCAGGCGGGCAGUUUGACUGGGGCGGUCGCCUCCCAAAUGGUAACGGAGGCGUACAAAGGUUUCCUCUGAACGUGUAGAAAUCGUAUCUAGAGUGUAAAGGCAUAAGGAAGCUUGACUGUGAGACUUACAAGUCGAGCAGGGACGAAAGUCGGUCUUAGUGAUCUGACGGUGCUGAGUGGAAAGGCCGUCACUCAACGGAUAAAAGUUACUCUAGGGAUAACAGGCUGAUCUCCCCCAAGAGUUCACAUCGACGGGGAGGUUUGGCACCUCGAUGUCGGCUCAUCGCAUCCUGGGGCGGUAGUACGUCCCAAGGGUUGGGCUGUUCGCCCAUGAAAGCGGUACGCGAGCUGGGUUUAGAACGUCGUGAGACAGUUCGGUCCAUAUCCGGUGUAGGCGUUAGAAUAUUGAGAGGAGCCUUCUUUAGUACGAGAGGACCGAGAAGGACAUACCUCUGGUGUACCAGUUAUCGUGCCAACGGUAAACGCUGGGUAGCUAUGUAUGGAGUGGAUAACCGCUGAAAGCAUCUAAGUGGGAAGCCCACCUCAAGAUAAGUAUUCUCAU